CCUACGGGAGGCAGCAGUAGGGAAUAUUGGUCAAUGGGCGAGAGCCUGAACCAGCCAUGCCGCGUGCAGGAAGAAGGCCCUUGGGUUGUAAACUGCUUUUAAGCCAAUCGGAGUACCUGUAGAAUAAGCACCGGCUAACUCCGUGCCAGCAGCCGCGGUAAUACGGAGGGUGCAAGCGUUGUCCGGAUUUAUUGGGUUUAAAGGGUGCGUAGGCGGCCCUAUAAGUCAGUGGUGAAAACCUGCAGCUUAACUGUAGACGUGCCAUUGAUACUGUAGGGCUUGAGUACAGAUGAGGUAGGCGGAAUUGAAGGUGUAGCGGUGAAAUGCAUAGAUAUCUUCAAGAACACCGAUAGCGAAGGCAGCUUACUAAGGUGUACUGACGCUGAGGCACGAAAGUGUGGGGAUCAAACAGGAUUAGAUACCCUUGUAGUC
rnacentral:rRNA from 1 species